UGGGAAACGGACGGAAAGGCCGGUGGGAAGGGUCUCAUCGGCUGCAGACUAUCAGCGCUUCUGCUGCUGCUGAAGUGGAAGAAAAAAGAGAAAGAGGAAAAGAAAAACCUCGCCUCGCAGUAUAUCACUCCUUUUUUUCUGACGGAGCCUCAUGACUGAUAGAAAUCCUGUCUCAGCGGCGUGGAUCCCCCCGGAUGCACUCGACGAUUCCCCUCAGCGGCGAGCUCCCUGAUGCACCGUAGCUUUGUUUACCACUACACAUGCGAAAUGAGCCAAUAGGACGACUGCUUUUCCUUCAGCGCUACAGGCAUCAGAAGGCAAUUUAAGGUGACCGUCCAGUACAAAUGAUGAAUCUCGUAAUCAUGGGCGGUGUCACGGUGUUCUCCGAAUGCGGCCGCGGCGUAAUGAGUCUCAAAGGGCCACUUGUUUCUCACACCCACUCGAAUGAAGACCAACGUCAUCAAUCUUGGAAGCGGCCGAGGAGAAGCCGACUCCUGUCGAAGCCGAGGAUGAGGGGCGCCGCUCCAACGGCGGCCGCCGAGCAGCGCCUUGUGCCCACACACACGCUGACAUGUGUGAAAUGGGUUCAGCGACCUUUGACCCCGGCCAUCCAGAUGUACUGCCAUCGUUGUGUGCAUGACUGUGUGAUCAUAUGUUUUCCUCUGUCUGACCUAAAUGCAAUCAUGUCUAGACACUUCUUUAUUUCUUUCUGCUUUU